GAUGAACGCUGGCGGCGUGCCUAAUACAUGCAAGUCGAGCGAACAGACGAGGAGCUUGCUCCUCUGACGUUAGCGGCGGACGGGUGAGUAACACGUGGAUAACCUACCUAUAAGACUGGGAUAACUUCGGGAAACCGGAGCUAAUACCGGAUAAUAUAUUGAACCGCAUGGUUCAAUAGUGAAAGACGGUUUUGCUGUCACUUAUAGAUGGAUCCGCGCCGCAUUAGUUAGUUGGUAAGGUAACGGCUUACCAAGGCAACGAUGCGUAGCCGACCUGAGAGGGUGACGGCCAACAUGAGACCGGAGCCCGGUUCCAGCCACCGGGGGGGGGCGGAAGGGGGCAUCCUCCCGAAGAGGGGGAGACCCGGACGGGACACCCCGGGGGGAGGAAUAAGGGUUUCGGGAUCUAAAAACUUGGUUAUAGGGGAAAAAAAAAUGUGAAAGUAACUCUCCCCGUCUGGAGGCUCCCUAAUAAGAAGCCCCGGCCUAACUCGGUC
rnacentral:rRNA from 1 species